CACAGUAGUUAUACUGGAACUGGCCUCUUUGUGUUUUAGUCUGCAGGAACAGUGAGUGUGUGCUCCUGGAGAUGUAAUAUGACUGCCAUGGAUCACAAUUCUCUGCGCUGCUGAGGCUGGUGGAAGCUGGAAUCCAACAUCUGGACUGACACAUGUUUGCUGUCUCUUGCUUACUACAAAAUGAACAGCCAUCCUAGAAGGUUACCUUUUGCUCAGGCUUUGAAAAAUUAAAAUUACUUGGCUCCUUGCAAGAAACGAAGCGGAUACAUGAAGAAGCCCUGCAGAGAAAGUCAUCAAGUGCUACGAAAUUAUUCCAGAUGAAAAUACAGGCUGUUAUCAAUCGUGCCAAAGUCGUGAAUAUUUAUGUCAUUAGGAAGAAACAGGACUGCACUUGUGUCACAAUGGGCUUUCAAAUGCCAGGUGGUAACCAUGGAAACCAGUGGGCAACAUCAGCUAGUUACCUUUUCAGGCAACUCCAUGCCUUCUCGAAGGAAAACUAACCUGGAAAGCGGCUGUUUGUGGUUCCAGCAGGCUAUUUGCUGCCUUAAAGUCAAGAAGAAUAGCUCAAGGGCCCAUGGCACCAACAUGUUGCCUUGGUUACACUUGGAAGGAUGGACCACUGCUUUCUAAGCUUAUGAAGAUUCAUCAUUCUAUAAGAAUGCAGUCUGUUCUUAAGGUUUCUACAUGAAAGUCCAAUGACAUAUCAUCUUGUGGGAUGAAGGCUGGCAACCCAAAAAGGGUUCUCCCACCAUUAAAGUCCUAUUGAUGUUCUUAACAUUUGUCAGAAACUUCCCUCUGCUCCACAGCAUAAUAAAUGGU